GACGAACGCUGGCGGCGUGCUUAACACAUGCAAGUCGAACGCUGAAGCUCAGCUUUUGUUGGGUGGAUGAGUGGCGAACGGGUGAGUAACACGUGAGUAACCUGCCUCCUUCUUUGGGAUAACGCCCGGAAACGGGUGCUAAUACUGGAUAUUCACUGGUCUUCGCAUGGGGGCUGGUGGAAAGGGUUUUUCUGGUGGGGGAUGGGCUCGCGGCCUAUCAGCUUGUUGGUGGGGUGAUGGCCUACCAAGGCUUUGACGGGUAGCCGGCCUGAGAGGGUGACCUGGCACAUGGGGACGGAGAUACGGCCCAGACUCCGACGGGGGGCAGAAGUGGGGAAAAUUGCACAAUGGGCGACAGACUGAUGCAGCGACGCCGCGGGAGGGAUGGAGGCCUUCGGGUUGUGAACCUCUUUCGCUAAUGGUCAAGCCGCAACAAUGGUUGUGGUGAGGGUAGUGGGUAAAGAAGCGCCGGCUAACUACGUG
rnacentral:rRNA from 1 species